AAAGGAGGGCAACGGGUUGACCGUUCGCCAACCCGGUCAGGUCCGGAAGGAAGCAGCCGUAACGAAUCCGGUUAAGGUCGAUGCUCUCCACCAUUUUU
rnacentral:SRP_RNA from 3 species